rnacentral:misc_RNA from 1 species
GAUGAAGAACGUAGCGAAAUGCGAUAAGUAAUGUGAAUUGCAGAAUUCAGUGAAUCAUCGAAUCUUUGAACGCACAUUGCGCCCGCCAGUAUACUGGCGGGCAUGCCUGUUCGAGCGUCAUUUCAACCAUCAAGCCCUGCUUGCGUUGGGGUCCUGCGGCUGCCCGCAGGCCCUGAAAACCAGUGGCGGGCUCGCUAGUCACACCGAGCGCAGUAAUACAUCUCGCUUUGGGCGUGCGGCGGGUUCUUGCCGUUAAACACCCCCUUUUUACCAAGGUUGACCUCGGAUCAGGUAGGAAUACCCGCUGAACUUAAGCAUAUCAAUAAGCGGAGGA